GCUCGCUUCAGCAGGACAUAUACUAAAAUUGGAAUGAUACAGAGAAGAUUAGCAUGAACCCUGUGCAAGGAUGACAUGCAAACUCGUGAAGCACUCCAUAGUUUU